UAGGGAAUCUUCCACAAUGGACGCAAGUCUGAUGGAGCAACGCCGCGUGAGUGAAGAAGGUUUUCGGAUCGUAAAGCUCUGUUGUUGGUGAAGAAGGAUAGAGGUAGUAACUGGCCUUUAUUUGACGGUAAUCAACCAGAAAGUCACGGCUAACUACGUGCCAGCAGCCGCGGUAAUACGUAGGUGGCAAGCGUUGUCCGGAUUUAUUGGGCGUAAAGCGAGGGCCGGCGGAAGAUUAAGUCUGAUGUGAAAGCCCUCGGCUUAACCGAGGAACUGCAUCGGAAACUGUUUUUCUUGAGUGCAGAAGAGGAGAGUGGGACUCCAUGUGGAGCGGUGGAAUGCGUAGAUAUAUGGAAGAACGCCAGUGGCGAAGGCGACUCUCUGGUCUGCAACUGACGCUGAGGCUCGAAAGCAUGGGUAGCGAACAGG
rnacentral:rRNA from 1 species